rnacentral:snoRNA from 1 species
AACCAGUGAUGUGAUGAUUCUGCCAAAUGAUAUAAACUGAUAUCACCUUUAAAACCGUUCCAUUUUGUUUCUGAGGUU